rnacentral:tRNA from 1 species
GAGGAUAUAGCUCAGUGGUAGAGUGCGUGCUUAGCAUGCAAGAGGUCCUGGGUUCGAUCCCCAAGUACCACCA